rnacentral:ncRNA from 10 species
AUUGUCCUUAUCAAUGGGGAAGCGUUAUUACUCAAGGAACGAUAAGUGAGGGUAGUACUGCUAACACCAUUUGUGAUUUAUCACACUCCGCACCGCUGCUUCCUUGUGGAGUUGGUCGGUGCAAUUUCUGGAUGG